rnacentral:rRNA from 1 species
GACGAACGCUGGCGGCGUGCUUAACACAUGCAAGUCGAGCGGAAAGGCCCUUUCGGGGGUACUCGAGCGGCGAACGGGUGAGUAACACGUGAGUAAUCUGCCCUGGACUCUGGGAUAGCCACCGGAAACGGUGAUUAAUACCGGAUAUGACACCUUGCUGCAUGGUGGGGUGUGGAAAGUUUUUUCGGUCCAGGAUGUGCUCGCGGCCUAUCAGCUUGUUGGUGAGGUAAUGGCUCACCAAGGCUUUGACGGGUAGCCGGCCUGAGAGGGUGACCGGUCACACUGGGACUGAGACACGGCCCAGACUCCUACGGGAGGCAGCAGUGGGGAAUAUUGGACAAUGGGCGGAAGCCUGAUCCAGCAACGCCGCGUGAGGGAUGACGGCCUUCGGGUUGUAAACCUCUUUCAGUACCGACGAGGCGAAAGUGACGGUAGGUACAGAAGAAGGACCGGCCAACUACGUGCCAGCAGCCGCGGUAAAAC